AUUGCAGCGAAAAUUGGAGGAGAUGCUGGCACAGCAAUGAAUUCAAACGACUACGGUUAUGGAGGGCAGAAAAGACCUCUCGAGGAUGGAGAUGGCUCUUGGACAAGUCCGAGCAGUACAACACACUGGGAGGGAAUGCCCUCUCCUUUUAAAGAUCAACCAGAUGCUAAGAAAGUUGCUCCCCAGAAUGACUCUUUUGGAAAUCAGCUCCCACCGAUGCAUCAGCAGCAAAGGUCUGUGAUGACAGAGGAGUACAAAGUUCCAGAUGGGAUGGUUGGAUUCAUCAUUGGCAGAGGUGGAGAGCAGAUCUCGCGCAUACAGCAGGAGUCUGGCUGCAAAAUACAGAUUGCACCUGAUAGUGGAGGCCUGCCUGAAAGAUCAUGUAUGCUAACUGGGACACCAGAGUCUGUUCAGUCAGCAAAAAGAUUGCUUGAUCAGAUAGUUGAAAAGGGAAGACCUGCACCUGGAUUUCAUCAUGGUGAUGGACCUGGAAAUGCAGUCCAAGAAAUUAUGAUUCCAGCAAGUAAAGCAGGAUUAGUUAUUGGGAAAGGUGGAGAGACAAUUAAACAAUUACAGGAGCGGGCAGGUGUCAAAAUGGUCAUGAUUCAGGAUGGCCCCCAGAACACUGGUGCAGACAAGCCCCUUAGGAUAACAGGAGACCCUUACAAAGUUCAGCAAGCCAAGGAAAUGGUGCUGGAGUUAAUUCGCGACCAAGGUGGCUUUAGAGAGGUGCGCAACGAAUAUGGGUCAAGAAUAGGAGGAAAUGAAGGGAUAGACGUUCCAAUACCACGAUUUGCUGUAGGUAUUGUAAUUGGAAGAAAUGGAGAGAUGAUUAAGAAGAUCCAGAACGAUGCUGGGGUUAGGAUUCAGUUCAAGCCAGAUGAUGGAACAACUCCAGAUAGAAUAGCCCAGAUCACAGGGCCUCCUGACAGAUGUCAGCAUGCUGCAGAAAUCAUUACAGAUCUCCUUCGCAGUGUUCAGGCUGGUAACCCUGGUGGGCCAGGACCUGGUGGUCGAGGAAGGGGUAGAGGCCAAGGCAACUGGAACAUGGGGCCUCCUGGUGGAUUACAGGAGUUCAAUUUUAUUGUCCCUACUGGCAAAACUGGAUUAAUCAUUGGAAAAGGUGGUGAAACUAUUAAAAGUAUAAGCCAACAGUCUGGUGCUAGAAUAGAACUUCAGAGAAAUCCUCCACCUAAUGCAGAUCCAAACAUGAAGAUGUUUACUAUCCGUGGGACACCCCAGCAAAUAGAUUAUGCACGACAACUUAUAGAGGAAAAGAUUGGAGGUCCAGUGAAUCCGUUGGGUCCCCCGGUUCCCCAUGGUCCCCAUGGUGUUGUUCCUGGCCCACAUGGACCUCCUGGGCCGCCGGGUCCUGGUGCUCCCAUGGGCCCCUACAACCCAGCUCCUUACAACCCAGGCCCUCCUGGUCCUGCCCCUCAUGGUCCUCCAGCUCCAUAUGCUCCACAGGGAUGGGGAAAUGCUUAUCCACACUGGCAGCCACCAAACCCACCAGACCCAGGUAAGCCAGGAACAGAUCCCAAUUCAGCAGCGUGGGCAGCUUAUUAUGCUCACUAUUACCAGCAGCAAGCACAGCCACCACCUGCAGCCCCUCCUGGUGGACCAGCUACAACCCAAACCAAUGGACAAGGAGAUCAGCCAAAUCCAGCACCAGCAGGGCAGGUUGACUAUACCAAGGCCUGGGAGGAGUACUACAAAAAAAUGGGUCAAGCCGUGCCUGCCCCUGCUGGGGCUCCUCCGGGCGGGCAGCCGGAUUACAGCGCGGCGUGGGCCGAGUACUACCGGCAGCAGGCGGCGUACUACGCCCAGACAAGUCCCCAGGGAAUGCCCCAGCAUCCUCCAGCGCCACAGACAUUUAAUCAUCACUGAAGAAGAGGAAUUGAGAUACUCUGAUGUCCUCGCUGUAGCUGCUCUCCAGUGAACUCUUGCGUGCUGAGAGAAGCCUGUGCUUUGCAAGCUGCAAUCACGAGCCCCUUUCAGAGGACAUCCCAGAGUACUUCAUCUGUUCAUGGAGGGAGUGACUGGGAGCUGUCAGAGUACUGAUAAUCCAGAUCUCUAGACUCUGAGCAGCCCUGGGACUGAUCUCCUUUGAUUUCUUUCUUCCCUUGCUUUCUGCAUUGCUUCAAAUUUAUCCUUUACAUCACCCUUGUGAAGCUUGGGCACAUAGGACUUUUGGACGGGUUUAGAUGAAGAAAGCAGAAUCUUGGUGAAGAUAUAGAAGAAAUGAAGAUAAGAAAAAGAAAGGUGAAACAGAUGGACAGAAUAUUUCUGAUAGAUUGGAUUAGAAAGAAUGUAAGAACAAAACAGAAGUGCAAUUGAGAUUAUGAACUUGGUGCCAUGAGCCAUCAUCAGUUAAGCAUCAUUAUAUUUGCUCAUAAAUAGUCAUAAAUUGUAAAAUAUCCAAAACAACAUUCAGCAUUAUAUUAAACUAUUAAAUUAGAUACAGAUUUUUAUUGUUGCUUUCAAUCUUAAGCAGUCACCAAAGAGACUCUCUGCCCCUAACAUUUAAAAGGGAUAAAAAGACAUAGAUACAUAAUACAAUACAUAUAGAGUUCUUCUGCAACACUUCAACAGCCAUCUAGAGUCUUGAAAUAAACAGUAGUAGUUAUUAAUUUAAAACUUGCAAUAUGCUUACUUUUUCGAUAUCUAGAAAAAAACAGGAGCCCAGAGAUUUUAUGUUACAAAGUGCAAAGAUCACUGGACCACCAGGGCUCUGAUGGUGAUGCAGCAAAUGAAACUUCUUUGCCAAUGGUUACUCUGUGGGUGUCCAAACACCAAAGGUUCCCACUUUCAGAGCUACUGUGAAGUUUUGUCUUUUUACAGUGAUGACAACAGGAAUGUUCUCAAUAAAGUAAUACUGAGAAAACUGGCUAAAAACAUGCUUUGUUUCAUAUUUUCCCAGCUACACCAGAAGGUUUUGUUCCUGCUACUCAGUAAGUCUAUGUAGCAGAGGAAAUACUUGAAGUAGCCUGGUAUAAUUACAUUUUAGCAUCAGAUGUAAAUGUUGCCCAGAAUUUCCCCACCAACAUUUAAACCUUUUCCAUAUUUCACCCUCCUCCUCCAUGUUUUUCUAAUAAGAACAUAAUUCACAGAUUCCAUCAAAUCUUAAGCUACUUAACAAAACCCCUUUCAUUGUCUAAAAAUACCAGCAGAUUUCCAGUAUAAUUAUCUUUUACAAUUAUUUGUAAUUAUUACUUCUGCAAGCAUCAGUUGUAAAUUAUUACAUUGCCUUGAUUACUUUAAAAUGGGUACAUACCUCAGUUUUCUGUGCAAUGUCAUUCAUGGUUACUGUAUUGUGCUCUGCACCUGGUAUGUUUAAGAUGGCUUUCAGUUUCUACCUAAAAGAAACAGUUGUAGUUACAUUCCUUUCUUGUCCUUUUAAAUGAUGCUUUAACCAUCUUCCUGUAAAUAAGUUUGCAUAGGCUGAAAUUGAUGGAUCACAAUUUCACUUGGUCCGCUGGGGCUUUUGCAGACAUGAAUAGGUUCUAAGUAUGCCACAGUAAUUAAAAGAACAAGCUUAUGAUUCACUAUUCAUGCUCAUAACUCCUCUAUAUAGUCCUAGAUGUUGGGUUCUAAUUUCCAUUUUAAAAAACAACAAAACUCGGAGCCAAGCUCGGGCUGCCCGCGCUGCUCCUGCCAAGCUGCGGCUCCCGGGGCUCGGGAGGGGAGAGGGGCCGGGGCAGCGCCUGUGCCAUCCCGGCCUGCACCCGGCACACGGUACCGAGUCCCGCUCUCCCUUCCCCAGGGAAAAGGAGCGGCAAAAGCUAUGGAAUGGGAUAGGUAAGCCACGUACAGAUAAAGCAUUUCUAUAAUUUAGCUGUCUUCCGGAAAUUGCAUAGCAUUUUUCAGAAGAAAAUUGUUAGAAAUUUUAAAGUACACUGUAUACUAGGAAGCUAACAGAAAGGCACUUUCUCUUCUUUUUCUCUUCUUUUCAGCUUCAGGUCUAUCAGAGCUCAUGGGAGGAAGGAAAUCAUGAUGUGACUCCAGUGCUACUACUGUUGUAUUGUAUUGAUACUCUGAGUCCCAGGAAAGCCUAAACUGAGUGUGCCAAAUAUAGUGCAAAUAAGGGGCCCAAAGAUUUUAAGCAAAAAUUCUGGAAAAGCAGCUUAGCACUGGAAGGGAUUUCUCACUUGUGGUUUAGAGGAGCUGAAGUCAGGGAUUUUCAUGAUAUGGAAAGUUAAGCUCUUAUUUUUCAAAUUCUCUAAGUGUUAAUUGCAAACAGAUUAUAAACAUAGAAAUAUUUAUGUACUUUUGAAAAGAAUUAAUAUUAAGAGUUCUUUUCAUGUAACCUCUUCAAAAAUACACCAACAUCACCAGUGCUCGCUGGCACUGCUGUAGCUACACAAAAGGAAUGGGAUUCUUAGAGAUCUUGGGAUGUUUUUCCCAAUGAAAGCAGUCACAACAUAUGAAAGGAGAGCAUUUAGCUACCAACACUUGUCCUGAUUUACAAGUUCUAAACUCUUCAAUUUUGGCUUCAAUGGGGAUGUUCUGGAGAGCACUUUGGUGUUCCCUUUCAACCAGUUAGUAGGGAAAGUCACACCGUCCUCACCCCACUCCUUCAUUUGUAGACUGAUAGGAAUCCAAGGCAUUUCAGUUUCUCACUCAUGAACAUAUAAUCACUAAGUAGCAGUUCCUAUUGAGAUUUCAGGUCAGCAAUAGCAUGUUAGAAUUGUGUGAAGUGUAGAAAGGGAGAUAACUGCAUCAGCAUUCUGCAGCCUCAGGGUCUCCAUAGGCUUUGCCAUCCAUUUGUACACUGUGCAGGAUUUUCCCAGCUCUGUAAGCCUUAGCUGACUUCUAUCCAUGUAAGUAAAAUCCCCACUGUGAUCAGUGUAACCUUAAAACUACUGCAAAUCUUUUAACUCCCUUAUUUCUCUAAGCAGGUCUUAGAGGAAGUUCUCUGUUCUCUUCUUUUGCUGCUCUGCUCAUUUAAAGGCUCCUUCCCCACUUGGGGCUGGCAGCCUUUAGCCUUGUACUAAACAUCCAGCAGCUGACUCAAAGCUUGACUGCAGGAACCCAUCAGAAAGCAAAGGAAUGUCAUGAAUUGGUGCAAUGCUGCACUGAAGUGACCUGGGACACAGACACAUGUUACCCUUGACAUGGGGCUGGAGCAGAGAACACUCAAAGAUAAUCUGUCACAAGAAAUUCCAUCUCACCUCAACACCUCAAGGUAAGGUUACCACAAAUUGUGACCACAGCAAUGUACCCCAUGGAUAGGGCUUCAUCUUAAAGUCAUCUGAAAAAUGACUAUUCCAAAGUCUGGUUUAUUAGUGCAAUUAAUUGUAAGAAGAUGUUCCUGAGUUAAGACUUUGUCUUGAACCUUUCUGAUAGUUCCAAUUACCUGAACUUCAACAGUGGGAUAACAAAUCUGAAAUUUUUCUUAGAAGUGCAAAAGAAGUUGGAAGAAAUCUUCUUUGCAAAUUCCUGCUGCCUGAACUUCCAAAAUAGUGCCAGUCCAACAGGUUGUGGGCCUCCAAGAUGGCAGAUAUGUUUCUGCCAUUUGGAAUACUGCCAUAUCUGCUUUUACUUUAGGCUACUUUCCAGUUCAUUGGCAUCACUAACUCUAAUAUGUUUGAAGGUUAGCCAGCUGGCUCUAAGGCAUUUUGCCUCUGCAAGUCAUCCUACCUCCACCUCUGAUGCUAAAAGAUAUUGAUAUAAAGCACCAGCACACUGCUGAACACGAUAGCACCCAUGUGUGCACUCCCAACCCUCUGCAUGACCAUUAAACCUCGAGCAGGAUGAGCAGCUGGACCCUGCCCCAGCCACCCCUCAGGGCAGAUGGGUCAUUUCCAAUAAAGACAAUCAAAAUAUUGAAGAAAAAUGAAGCACUCUUGAGUUUUGGAUUGGGUCUGUGAGGCAGUGACCACGGCUUUGGGAACAACCACUCAGAGAGAAGCUCCUCUGUAUCUGCCUCAGCCUCAGGAGAGGCUCACAGUCCAUGAACUGGUGCUGAGGAAACCCAAGUGGCUGCAUCAGGAAGUCCUGACAGUGCCUUCCUCGUCUGCCAACAGCCCUGCAGAAGAACACAGUAAUAGAUUUUCCAACCCAAGAAACCUUGACCUACUAAUUUCCUUUUGAGAUGAACUAGUUAUAUUAAAUCACCCAUUGAUAUGUAUGUAUUCUUGUUUUGUGUUUUCAUCCAAUAAAAGCAAUUCUUACUUUUUGA